rnacentral:rRNA from 1 species
GGAUAAGGGCUGAAAGCAUCUAAGUCCGAAGCCGCUCCCAAAAAUAGACAUCCGUCCGGAACGCAAGUUCUGGUGAAGGGCACCCGUAAAAGACGGGUUCGAUGGAGAGGCGGUGUA